rnacentral:rRNA from 1 species
AACGAACGCUGGCGGCAUGCCUAACACAUGCAAGUCGAACGAGACCUCCGGGUCUAGUGGCGCAUGGGUGCGUAACGGGUGGGAACCUGCCCAUAGGGUCGGAAUAACUCUCCGAAAGGGGUGCUAAUACCGGAUAAUGUCUACGGACCAAAGAUUUAUCGCCUUUGGAUGGGCCGGCGUUGGAUUAGGUAGUUGGUAGGGUAAAAGCCUACUAAGGUGAUGAUUCAUAGCUGGUCUGAGAGGAUGAUCAGCCACACUGGGACUGAGACACGGCCCAGACUCCUCCGGAAGGCAGCAGUGGGGAAUAUUGGACAAUGGGCGAAGGCCUGAUCCAGCAAUGCCGCGUGAGUGAUGAAGGCCUUAAAGUUGUAAUGCUCUUUUACCCGGGAUGGUAAUGACGGUACCGGGAGAAUAAGCUCCGGCUAACUCCGUG